GAUGAACGCUAGCGACAGGCUUAACACAUGCAAGUCGAGGGGUAUAGUUCUUCGGAACUAGAGACCGGCGCACGGGUGCGUAACGCGUAUGCAAUCUACCUUUUACAGGGGGAUAGCCCAGAGAAACUUGGAUUAAUACCCCAUAGUAUGUUAGAGUGGCUUCAUUUUACCAUAAAAGUUCCAACGGUAAAAGAUGAGCAUGCGUCCCAUUAGCUAGAUAGUAAGGUAACGGCUUACCAUGGCGACGAUGGGUAGGGGUCCUGAGAGGGAGAUCCCCCACACUGGUACUGAGACACGGACCAGACUCCUACGGGAGGCAGCAGUGAGGAAUAUUGGACAAUGGGAGCAAGCCUGAUCCAGCCAUGCCGCAUGCAGGAAGACGGUCCUAUGGAUUGGAAACUGCUUUUGUACAGGAAGAAACACUCCCUCGUGAGGGAGCUUGACGGUACUGUAAGAAUAAGGAUCGGCUAACUCCGUGCCAGCCGCCGCUGUAAUAC
rnacentral:rRNA from 1 species